AAAGGAACCGGAAACGGGAUGGGGAGCUGGACCAGGUGAGGAAGUAGGGGGCUGGGAAUCCGGGACUGUGGGGGCAAGUUGACGGCUCCCAGGGUCGUCGGGGCUGAGCCGAGAGGGUGGUUAGAAUUUCUAUAUUUUGGGGUCCCUCCCUCCGUAUGGGGUAAGACUCAGUGCAGGGAGAGCCCAGCCUAUGAAACCGCCUGGGAGGUCUGCAGGAUCAAGGCUUUCCAGUCGGCCGGAGCCAGCGGGCGCCCCCGGAGGUUUUGCUGGAGUGCAAUGGCGCGAUCUCAGCUCACUGCAGCCUCCGCCUCCCGGGUUCAAGCGAUUCUUCUGCCUCAGCCUCCCGAGUAGGUGGGAUUACAGGCGCGCGCCACCAUGCCCAGCUAAUUUUUGUAUUUAGUAGAGACUGGGUUUCACCAUGUUGGUCAGGCUGGUCUCGAAGUCCUGACCUCGUGAUCCGCCCGCCUCGGCCUCCCAAAGUGCUCGGAUUACGGGUGUGAGCCACCGCGCCCGGCCUAUGCAUUAUUAUUAUUAUUAUUAUUAUUAUUAUUAUUAUUAUUAUUAUUUAUUAUUAUUAUUAUUAUUAUUAUUAUUUCGUUUAAGGAUAUUUAUUAUUGUCCCUGGACUCCCGGAGUGCCUCCAAAGGACAGGGGAGUGCAUAUGUGAUUUCGAUUCCUUCCUCACUUCCCGGAUUUGAUGUCAGAGAAGUCUGACAUCAGUCUGAAGUCGGCCCUUGGUGGUCAGCCUUAUCGCUUGGUCCAACUCCGCUGUCUUUGUGCUUAAUGUAGUAUGACACCGUAUUUUAUAAAAUAUCUACAUUUCUUAAGCCUCUGGCUCUUGGGGCGACUUUGGGUAGAACUUACAAGUUCCUCCUUUGGGUUCUCUUAGUGUUUUGUUCCGGGUAUUAAAGCUCACAUCACACUGUAUUACAGUUAGUUGUUUAUUUGCCCUCACAGCAGAUUAUGAGCUUACAGAAAGCCUGGCCUACAUUUUACUCUUUUUGGAUUUCUUCCUCAUCAAGAGACUGCUGCAGUGCCUGUCAUGUGACAGCGGCAUGGACAUAUGCCCCAGGCUUUCCUGCUGGGGUCCAUCCAUGAGCCUGCAGGUGCCCUCAUGGAGCCCCAGCCCUGCCCUGGAAGCUUGGCUGAGAGCUUCCUGGAGGAGGAGCUUCGGCUCAAUGCUGAGCUGAGCCAGCUGCAGUUUUCGGAGCCUGUGGGCAUCAUCUACAAUCCCGUGGAGUAUGCAUGGGAGCCACAUCGCAACUACGUGACUCGCUACUGCCAGGGCCCCAAGGAAGUACUCUUCCUGGGCAUGAACCCUGGACCUUUUGGCAUGGCCCAGACUGGGGUGCCCUUUGGGGAAGUAAGCAUGGUCCGGGACUGGUUGGGCAUUGUGGGGCCUGUGCUGACCCCUCCCCAAGAGCAUCCUAAACGACCAGUGCUGGGACUGGAGUGCCCACAGUCAGAAAAAAUUCUUGCUGCUGUAUUGAGAACAGAUUGAGAAAACAAGGGCAGAAGCAGGGAGACCAGUCAGGAGCUGAUUGCAGUAUCAGGCUGGUCUGGAACUCCUGGGCUGAAGCUAUCCUCUUGCCUUGGCCUCCCUAAAUGUUGGAAUUACAGACAUGGGCCACUACACCUGGCGAUCUGUGUCUUAUACGCCACUGUCCUGUCUUCAUGCGGAUGAAGGGGGAGCUGCCAGAAGGAGGUGUGGACCCCUGGGUUCUGUUCUGCUUUGGGGACUGUUUCCUUCCUCCCCUCCUCACCCCCUGGUGAACAGAGUCCAAGCCCCUCCCCCUCCCCCGCUGGCUUGUAUGCCCUCAGGCUCAGUGGAGAGAAAGUAGAGGCUGGCAGGAGGGGCGCAGGAGGGAGGCCAGGGGGAAGCCAAGCUGAAAAUGAAAGCUGGGGAGGGGGCAGCGGAGCGCGCCUGGAAUCAUGUUUGCAUAACGAGCUGUGCUGGCUCUGGCUUGCUGUUUUUCCAGACAGGGCUCUCCCUCCUUUGUCUCUCAGCUGGUGCUCCAGUCUCUUUCCUUCUUUUUUUUCUCCUGGCCACUGCCCCUCAUUUACUUUGCCCCUCAGUACUCCCUGCAGCCACCUGGACUCCAGUCUUCCCCUUCCGUUUCCCUGACUUCUGCUCUGAGGCUCUGCUCAUUUAUACCUUUGUUUCCCCCAUCCCCAUCUCCCUCGUGUGCCCCCCUUCUCUGCCAUCCAUUUCUGCCCCAGUGGGUUCCCCUCUGUCUCUCUCCCCAGUUCUCCCUUCUCCAUCUCUGUGGCAUCCCCUUUACUCUCUUUCUGGCUGGAAGUCCCCCAUCUUUUCUCUUCCUGCCUGUUUCUGUCUUGCUCUUGCAUUCCUGGGUCUCUUUCUUCUUACUAACCCCUUCUGCCUCCCGGGUCAGGCUUCACCUCCUGCCUUCCUCCCCUUCUCUUGCCUUCCCUCUCUGACAAAGCACUUUCCUGUCAGUUAUACUGCUUGGAUUCAGGGCACUUAGCACCUAGAUUCAGGGCCCACUGUGAAGCCCUCCUUUGUUCACUUGAUGAAAUAAUUGCAGUAACAAGACUAAAAUUUAAUGAACACUUACUAAACGCCUUAUCUGUGUAUGAUCUCAUGUACUUCUCUCAAUAAUACUAUGAGAUGAAUAUUAUUAUCCCCAUUUUACAGAUGAGGAAAGUUGAGAGAUUAAAUAACUUGCUGAAUAACUCACAGUUAAUCAGAAUUGGGGCUUGAAUGCAGGCCUGCUUGCCUAAGGAGCCUGUGCUCUUAACCACAGGGGUCGAUUCCAGCCCUGGAAGAAGCUGGUCUCACUUUCUCUCCCAGUGAGACUAACAUAGCCCUCCUCCUUUCUUUAAACAUCAUCUUGGCGCCCCCAGCUUCCUCCAAAGGUCAUUUGGUCCCUUCUCUUUUCUCUGCACAAGUCCAGAUUCAACCUAGUCUCAAGACUUUAUUUUAUAUGACAGUGCUACUAACGAUACAUUGCCUGGCACUAAUCUAAGCACUUUAUGCAUAUUAUUUUAUUUAAUCAUCUUAGUAACUGUGGGAAGUAGCUACUAUUCUCACCCCCAUUUUACAGAUGAAGAAACUGAGGCAUAGGGAAGUCAAAUAACAUGUCAGUGGUCACAUAGUUAAUAAGUGGCAGAGCCAGGAUUGAGCCCAGGCACUUUGGCUUCAGGGAACCUGGCCUAACAGCCACACUGCUUCACAGUUCCUGGGAAAACAGGUUUUGGUCCCUCACCUCUUGUUACUAGUCCAGGUGCUUUGAGCAGUUCUUGUGGUCCAUCCUCAAGCCCAUUUCUGUGGGCACUGCCUGCUGCGGUGUAAAGUCUGCCACCAGCACUGACAGCCCUCAAGAUCUGGUAGGCCACUUGCCCUAAUCGGUGCCUGAGGGGAUUUAUUGGUGGCUGCCCCCAGGGAGUGGGGACAAGUGUUUUCCUCUCCAGCUCUGCUGUGCAGCCUCCUAGCCCGACAGCUCCCUCGUUCCGGCCCAUCGCAGCAGCUGAUUUACCUCUAUGGCUGGGGGAUUUAGCUGCUGGCCUGGCUCCUACUAUAAAUCCCUGGGCAAAUAACCAAGCUCUGCAUCAAAGCUGCCAACAGGGGAGUGAGCAGGAGCAGAUGGUCACUUUGGCCAUGGGGUGGGGAGGGCAGGGGCAGUGGCUCCAGGGCUUUCUUGUCCACCCCUGUCCACAGAGCCAGGCUGCACCUUGUUCAUGCCCAUGGGGUUGCCACUCAACUUUCAGAGGAUUUGACGGCCCCAUCCUGGCAUCUCCCGAUGCUGAGUGCCGGCAGGUUCUGGUUAAUGUUCAGUCUUAUACCUGCUACUCCAUUUGAAGUCUCUUUGCUUGACAUCACUAGAGAAGGAGAGAACUGACUACCAUACUGGGUUUUAUCACCCUUCCAAGAGCCGAGCUUUGGGUGGUUUUCUGGAAACCCAUCCCAUACAUGUGGGAUGUAGGUAGGUUCUGUCCUCCUGAGAGAGGCUCAGACUGAAGCAGGAAUUAAGAACUUCUCAGUGGAAAGGAAUGAAAGACCUAGAAUGUAGGUGACCUAGAGCGGAGGCUGAGUGAAACCUCCAAAAAGUAGGCCAAAGUCAGGGUGGAAGAACCCUGAAGGAUAAAGGUACUCCCUAAAAGUGAGACUUGUGGAAGCUGUGGUUGGAACCCUCAAACCUUCCAUGUGUGGCCCUGGCUCAGGAAUAUGAUAUGACUGCAGGGGUCCACACUGGAUCUGGGGGUGCAGUGGGACUGGAGGGGUCAUUGUUCUAUCAGUGUUCCUUGCUUCUCUGGCUUCCUCCCCUCUUUCUCUGACUCCUUUGGUGGCUUCUCCCUGCCACUCCCUGCCUGUCCCCUGCUCCCUUCUCUUUGCCAUGUUCUCCCCUGUGGUGCUGUCACUUGCUGGUAGCCAGAAAGCACUUCCUGCACUCAACUGACCAGCCUGCGGUGGUGGGAUUGGGCUGUAGCUCAGGGCUCUGGUUCUGCUCCCCAGAACCUUGCUCAGCCUGGAGCCUGUCCCCAGUGUCUGUGCCAUUUUGUUCUUAUGCUCCUCAUUUAUCUUUCCUGUCCCCCUCCCCCUACCACUGCCGCCUCCGCCUGGGAGAUUACAGUCACUGAAUCAGCAGCCAGCUCCAGAGUUCUGCUGACAGGGGACUUUCUGCCUCUGAGGGCUCCUUGGUGGGAUCAGGGUCCCUCCUGAGGCCCAGGGAUUUGGGGUAGGGGAAGAGAAGGGCUGGAAAGAAGAACAGGUGGAUGUAGAGGGACAGAUGAAGGCAAAAGGUAAAGGAGAGAGGCGGGAAUAUGGAGAGAGAAAGGGAGAGAUGAACAGAAUUAGAAGAAAAUAUAGGCAAAGAUGGAAGAACAGUGGGAGAAGUGGAGAGAGAAGCAGAGGCUGGGGAGAUGGGAAAGAGUACAAGAGGAGGGGUGUGGGAAUUAGGUAGGGCAAACUCUGUUGAGCAUCCUGCAAGUCCAGGCCCAGCCCUGCCCUCUGCCCUCCCCUGGUGCCUGGGGAAGGCCCCUUGGAGGCCCAAGUUCACUGGGACCCAGCUGAGAGGUACAGGCUGGGGCCUGUUGGCCCUUGGUCUGGGGCUCUGCCUUGUACCUCCCUCUCUCCUCCUCACGUGGUGGUUUGUACUUCAUCUUGUUUGCGGGGCGGCUGGGCCUGCUCUCGGGGUUUAAUGAUCUGUGCCAUUAUUUAUAGCUUUGCGCGCCGAGAAACACACUGAAUUUAUUGCUUGCUUCUAUAAAUAACCCUGGCAAACGGGUGCCCAGGGAGGAGGGCGGGAGGGGGAGGGAGAAGCGAAGAAAGGAGAGGUUGGGGGUAGGGCAAGGGAGGACUCUGUGGACUCUGUCCCCAAAAUGGGGUGACGAUGUGCACAAGGACAGUGGAGGCUGGUGGGACUCUUUCAUCGUGGGUGUGUGUCUAAGGACACGUUAAUAUAACAGGACAGUGUGUGCCCUGUGAGGGGAGAGGGAGUGUUUGCAUGUUUCUGAGGGCAUGCAUGAGUUGACUGUGUGUUACUGUUUGUGUUUGUCUCCGGUGCCACGCUGGUGGCGGUGAGGUUGAAAAAGCACAAGGCAGCCUCCAGCCACGGCUGGUCUCGAAAUGGAUGUCCAGCAGGGCUGAGAGACAAGUGUUGGGGGUGCGGCUUGACUAGAGUCGGGAUUCUUUCUCUAAGGUUGGGGUAACAGAAAAGGUCACAGUGAGACUACUUUUCUGGAUGUUCGAUGGUAGAGGUGAUAAAAGGAAGAAAUGAGGCCUUGGGGGGCAGGGGCCAGGGCCACCUGUUCCAGGAUCCAGAGAGACCUUCACUUUUGGGCUUCGUGGAAGGAGAGGUGGUGGAUGGAGAGAGGGGUGGGGUGUGUGGUUGGCCGUAGCACUCCUCCUACGACCCUCCUGGCAAGUCCUGUCCCAGAAUGGGAGUGGGGGCUCUGCGCAGGCCAGCCUGCCCAGGCAGAGCCAAGGGCCUGGUGCUGUGGCCUGCAGAUUGCACCAUGCCUGCCUAUAGCAGGCCUUCCCCCUGGCCAGGGCUCUUCCCUACCCCUCCUCAGGACUGCCCAGGGUAGCAGGUCUUGAGGAAUGGAAACUCUGGCACGGCCCAGCCACAGGGCUGUGGUCCUGCCUCCUCUCUCUCCCUUAGCCCACCACACAGAACCUGCUGCAGCAGCAGCGAUUAGCUCUGGGAAGUGCUGUGCAUCUCUAAUGAGGGCAUUUGCAUAUAUAACGAAGAACCUUCACAGGUGUUGGCAGAGCCACCCCUCCUCUUUUCUCUUUCUUCUUUCCUGCCAGCUGCCAUCUUUGACCUGUGGCUGUUGGGGUGGGGGGGUCCCUGCCCAUUCAGCUGGGAGAUGUGCUGUGCUGAAGGAUCCCAGGCACAGGUGAGUUUCAGGGGCUCCCCUCUCUGGGUCAGAAACUGUCAAGGUGAAAGCCCAUUGUGUCAGUGUGCAUGGACAGGCCCAGCAACCUGUGUACAUGUGUGAACAUGAGCCUGUGCACACACAAAGAAGGCACAAGGUCAACACGCCCAUCUGUGCCCAAGUGCACUGCAGUGUGGUAAUGUACCCUGGUCAGUGCAAGUAUGCAAAACACGUCCCAGGCUGCGCCCUGGCUGAUGCUCCGAUGCGCAGUGCACACGGCUGCCAGCACAUGCUCCUUCACACUCACAUCCUGGCACUAGUGCAGACAAUUAGACAAAAAUGCACCUGCACCGACACUUCCUCCAUCCACACAGGGCCCCCUCCCUCCCUCCUUUCCUUUCUCCCUCAUGGAAUCAUCAGCCCUUAUUCAGGCCAGGAAACUACCUCCCACAUCCUACUUAGACCUAUGAAGUACACAAGAGACCAUUUUCCUUUUAAAAAUGAAUAUGAGGGGCCCUUACACAUAGAUAAAUGACAUUGAAGGGGAAGAGAAAAUGCCAGGGCCAGAGUGGCAGGUAGGACCUCAGUUGGGAACUGGGGGCAGGUGGAGAGAUUUCUGGGGAGGAGAAGCGCCAGGGGUGCUGAAGUCCCCACAAGGUCAUUCUCAGGUUGUCCCCGACAGCCCUGACUCUCCUGCUGCAGACCAGCCAAUCCCCAGCCCGAGGCCUCCCCACACUCUCCUGUUGGUCCGGCCGAGCCACGUGACCCUCCCGCUCUGUGGCAGCUGCUUGGAUGAUGGAUGCAGCUGCUCAGCUCUACCUGUUGGGGGACGGACUGCACAGCUCCUAAUUACCUCCUUCUUCAGUGAGGGCUGAGGGCUGGGGGCUCGACGCCGGGCUGUUAUGAGACCCCUCUCCUCCGCUGGGGCUGGGGCUGGGGCUGGGGCUGACAACCUGAACUACAGCCAGGCUUGGAGGCAGGCAGCAUUCCCUGAACUGCCCUAGGGUGAGGAGGGUGUGGGGGCACUAACCUGGGGUGUGGAGUGCGAGGAGUGCUUCUGGAAGGUUGACAGAGGGAGAAAGUGCAUCAUAAGUGACUUGGGAAACUGGGAUAGGAUAUUAAAUGAAUGACCUUUCUCCAAGGCCAUCCCACAGAGGGCAAGAUUCAGGUUAAAUAUCAAGGCAAACUUCCUGGCAGCCAGGGAUAAGUGCACUUGAGCAAAAGACAGAAAGGUGGAGAUAGAGGUUUGGAAAGCUUUUUAUAAGAUGAAUCAGAUCAUCAUUUUCCUGUCUGGUGGGUGGCUCGUGGCAAAUAGCUGCAGAAGUAGGCUGGAGUUAGAGUAGGAGGGCUGGAGGUAGAACUUGGAAUGAUUUGUUGGAGCGGUGGGUUGGGUGACACUGAACUGGACGCUUGAGGAGGUUGUGACACAUCAGUGUGGGAGGCUCCAGGUCUGGCCUGGCUUGGGGAGGGAUGAGGAAGACCCCAGGAUUGUAAAGAUGAUGGAACUCCUCCAGACUUCUCCCCGGGGGCACUGAGGUGUUAGGGGGCAGAGGCAUGUAUUCAACAACACCCCAGUGCAAUGGGAUGCCUGGUGGGUGUGAGUGCCCCUGGCUGGAGGCAGGCAAACAGGUGGUUUGGGAAUGGGACCACUACAAGAUUUCUUCUGAUUCUGAGAUCCUAGGAAUCCCAAAAUUAGGAUUCUGCAGGUUUCAAGAAGGGAAAGUAGGGAAGGGUUGGGCACAGAGCUGGUGAGUAGCACCAGGCAUUUUGGCUGCCAGCCCCCUUCUCCUGGUGGUAGGGGCUAUGAUGAUGUGGCUAUGAUAAUUGCUAUCCUUAUUAAAUGAUAUUGCAACUCACAGUAA